GCUUUACACGCCCCAGCCGGCGACCGGUUCCAUCUGGCUCGGGCCACUCUGACACCUUUAGUUUCGGCAAGGGAUAUUGGGGUGGCGAAGGGGAGGCGGGGGCCCGAAGGCUUCGGAAAACGAUGGGGGAGGGGGCAGAGGAUACCCGUCGAAGCCCCCCCCUCCCCCAACAUUUCGAUAUUGGAAUCACUUUCCUUCUUCCUCGGGCCAGCCUUUGCUCUGUCCCCUCAGGUCAACUCAAGGUAGACAGUGUGGCGACUGGAGAGGUCGGGGAACAAGCUUUGUUUCAGCUAAGGGGAAAACAAGCGUUCACAGGAGUCCCCUGACACCUCCCACUCGGAAGAUAGCUAACGGGGGUCCUGCCAACCCUUCCCAUCCAACUUCCAUCUGAAAAGGAUUUUCUGCUAAAGUUGGGUCCAUGGCCAUCCAGCACCUGUAAGGCCGGCAGGAGCGUCUGCCCUCUACUCAGUUAAAGCCUGAAGUCGUUUCCUUUCGAUGGCCCUUAGGAGGCCCAAAAGAGGGGCGACAGAACAUGAUGUUGACACGGGCUGGGCGCCCCCAGAAGCCCGGGAACAAACGUUUCUACUUUCCAGGUCCACUGGUGUUUGGUGUACCCAUGUGACUAAUUUGUCCAAAGAGAGAAACUAGGAAUAUUCCAGUUGGUGACUGACCCCUUAGUUGGGUUCCUAGAGUGAGUUUGAUGUGGAGGAGCCCAAAAUGACCUGCAGUGAAGUUGGAGUGUGAGCAAGAAAUAAACUUUUGUUUUUUAAUUUUCUGAGGUUUUGGAAGUUGUAGAUUAUAACUGCAUAACCUAUCAAUAUUGAUAUGUUUCAAUUCUUAAUGAAAAUUUCUAAUAUUCUUUUUGAUUAUUUCUAACUUAUUAACUUAAAAUGUCAAAUAUCUAUAAUUUCAGUAUAUUCUGUAUCCUACAUUUAAAAAUAAAAAAUAGAAUGUUGAAAAUGAAAUCAUUUCAAUGAGAUGACAACUCAAAAUCUUAUAGUAUCAUCCAGAAACAUGUAGAACAGAUUUAAAAAUACACAGUACUGAGAUUGGCAGGUUGAGAAGAAGACACAUAUGAAGGGUAACUUCUUUGGAAAGAAGCAGCUAUGCACAGUACUUAAGAAUGAAAUUUCCAUGUCCCGUUAAUACAUCUGAAACAGUUUUACUUUCUAUCCCAAACUUUAAUGAUCCUAGAAAGCUGGUUUGAAUCAGUUUUUACAGGGUUGUUUUGGAUUUAAAAUAACUAAAACUUGAGAGCUGGGAGAAAUUUUAUUUAACACUUUUUUAUCAUUCAUGGUUUAAUGUUUAAUGAAUAAAUUCUUCACUAAGCUUAUGUGGUGAGGGUCUGGUGGUGAAAAGUACUUUUUCAACUAGAUAUAUUAGAAUGACAACAGCAAAGCAAGAAUGUGGUAGGGUCACAUAAAGGAGUCGUGAUCUGUGGGAAAUUAUUUUUUAUGAUUCUCCAAGAUGGCUGUACAUAUAAGCAUAAAAGUCAAUAAACAAGUGCCUAACCUUUAGCUCUAAAUUAACUUUUGAGCGCUUUGAAUGCCUGGCACAAAAAUAUUUAGGGGUUUGGCGCCAUCUGGUGGCCAAAUAUCAACUUUUCAGCUUCUCUUUUAUGACUAAGAAGUGAAUUACUCUGCACUUUCCAAUAAACACUAUUAAUAAAUAAAAUUAUUUAAAAUGUUGAUUUCCAGAACUUGAGAAGACAAAUCAAAGACAGAUUUCUGUUAUGUUACCUAUUGUUAUAUGACAGAAUUUCAGUCUUGAGUAGGUUCUUUUAUACUUGCAUUUGAUUUAUUUAUGAAAGCAUUAUAGACAUAAAUCUGCUAUCUUUUUCUUAAUACAAGAGAAGACUCUUUCCCCAAAAGAAAUUAGACGUGCUCAAUAAAAUCUAAAUUUAUUUUUUCACAAUUCUGUAAAAGAUUGAGCUAGGGGUGCGUGUGUGUGUGUGAAUAUCAGAAUUUAUUUUAAAAAUGCAAGAGGGAGAGGGGAAGGAGCUGGUAGUGACAUUGUUAAUUGUCUGCUUUGCAAUAGCAAAGACUUGGAACCAACCCAAAUGUCCAUCAAUGAUAGACUGGAUUAAGAAAAUAUGGCACAUAUACACCAUGGAAUACUAUACAGCCAUAAAAAAGGAUGAGUUCAUGUCUUUUGUAGGGACAUGGAUGAAGCCGGAAACCAUCAUUCUGAGAAAACUAUCGCAAGGACAGAAAACCAAACACUACAUGCUCUCACUCAUAGGUGGGAAUUGAACAAUGAGAACACUUGGACACAGGGUGGGGAACAUCACACACCGGGGCCUGUCGUGGGGUGGGGGAAGGUGGGAGGGAUAGCAUUAGGAGAUACACCUAAUGUAAAUGAUGAGUUAAUGGGUGCAGCACACCAACAUGUGCUGUUGUACACGUGUACACAUGUAUACAUAUGUAACAAACCUGCACGUUGUACACAUGUACCCUAGAACUUAAAGUAUAAUAAUAAUAAAAAAAAAUUGUCUGCUUUGUA
rnacentral:lncRNA from 1 species